UGACGAGUGGGGCUGGCUAUGUGUGGGGUCAAUAGAACACAAUGGUUUUCCUCCUGGCCUGCGUAAAAGAAAAAAGCCCUAGACCGACGAGCGGUAAAAGUAAAAGGUGACGCGGCUUCCUCCUCCCCUCGCUCUCUUCUCGCCUCCUCCUCUCCGCCCUCUCGCUCGCCGCCGCCGCCGCCAUGGCCUCCCCUGCCGCUCAUCUCCACCUCCUCCAGCGAGCCCAAUCGCUCCCACUCCAUCCCCUCAACCCAUGGAUUUCGGGGCAUCCCCUCUCGGCCACCACCUCUCCUCCUCUCUUUGUUUCCCCCAGGUUCCUGAUCUGGAGCGGGAGAGACAGAUACGGCAAAAAGCGCUGGUGCCGGCGUGGGAUGAUAGAGGCCACCACCUCUCCUCACCUCCUCCCAUGUUCCGGUGGCGGCACCGGGGAAGAAAGGAGCAGCAGCCAUAGCAGGCGCGUUGCUGACGAACGCGAUCUGCAGCAGCCGCGGCAGGAGGCGGUGUUGAUGAAGCGGCGGUCUGUGCCGUCGCCGCCGCUGUCGUCCUCUGGCAGAAGGUCAAGCCAACAUGAAUCAACAACGCCACGGCGAGAAACGACCAUGGGUCCUGGAGCCGAGGUAACCCUCUCAUCCCCUCCUCCAUUCUCGUCCCUCCCUCCCUCCUUUUUGCUAGCUGCCGCUGCUCCUCUCUCUAUCGCUCUCACCUGAUUUGCCCUCACCCCUCUCUCUUCCAUUCAUUUCUUAUGGUUUAAUCCCCAAAAAUCUCAUAUUUGUCUGUUCUAUGCCUACGAGGUGUUUAGCGAAAUAUUAAUGCUAAUAAUGUAUGUAAAUUUUAUCCUCUGUUGACUUCCACUAAUUUCUUUUUUCUGAAAUUUAGCUGCAGAUUUUAUGACUUGUCUAUACAGUAUAUUAUGUUCUGAUUAUGUGGCUUGCAUGUACUAUCUAUGGCCUCUGUUAUCACUUUUUCUUGUUUUAUUCAUGAUUCAUCACACUGGAACCGAGUGUAUGUAAAUUAUCUUUAAGUGAUGUUGAUGGAAAAGAAAGUUCAUCCAUAAUGCAGUGGCCUUUUACUUUUCCAAAAAGAAAUAUAGGUGCUCCAUCGGAGGAAUUAUAUUCCAGGGAUUAGUUCUUCAAACAUUUAUUUUGAUUAGAAUUUGCAUGUAAGCGUAAUAAAUAAAUAAAUGUAUAUUCAAACUUAACUGAAAUCACUCUUAUCUGUUUCUCUAAUAUUGACAAGUGCAUGACCUAAAAUCAGAAUUCUCUGAAGGCUUUGUUACCCUAAUGAGAUAAAGUAAGACUGCUCUGUGGGUUGAUGAUGUAAUAGAUUUAACAUAUAUUUCAGACCUUCGCAAUAAGCAUCGCACGGACCUAGAGAGUUUAGCGUUGACAUCACGGACAUUGAGAACACUUUGCAUUACCCUCAAAAAAGAGAACACUUUGCAUUAUUUCUGUUAGCCAUUGGACAGAGUACAGGAAGCAGAUGUUCCCGUGUUCUGAAAGAAGUUUUUGGUUUCGCUCCUUGGUGCUACCUGUUUGCUUCUCUUGGUAGCUGAGGGCCCACAUGAGAAGGUAUCAUCAUCUUUCUGUUUUAGUACAUUUAUGUAUUUCAAAUUAGACGAACUGAGUGGCGGUAUAGUGAAUUGAACUGCAAGUAUGCAAAUUAAUAGAGCACUACUUUCACAAUCUCUGGAUAUGCAUGUGUUGCUUUUGAAUGGUGAAAUCACUGAAAUGUAUUAUCUAUUUAUUGUGAAUGAGAAGGGUUAAGGUUUAUACCCUGCACUUCUUUAAAUUAAGGUAGCUAGAUGUUAGACUCGAACCUACGUGAGUGGGAGCAUUCGUCUACCCUGCUUGUGGUGCGUGAUCUCUUGCAGCAGGAUAAACCAUUAUAUUUCGUCUUCAAUGUAGCAUAUGCAGGAACUGCUUUGGUAUACCAGGUUUGUAUUAUCGUGAAACUAAGUAUUUAUCAUUGCAGUUAAGUUCUCUGCACGUCAUUUAUUUUUGCAGGCUCUGGCUUGCACACCUUUGUUGUAUUUAGGGCCUCAUAUUGCCCUUUUCACAAUGAAAGCGGUUCAGUGUGGCCGGGUUGAUUUAAAGAGUGCUCCUUAUGACACUAUUCUUUAAAAAGUAGGCCUUCAUGGUUGGGGAAAGACUGUCCAGAGUUUGGAUCUCCACUGUAUCAGGAAACUAUCCCAUUUAGCAAAAUACUCCAUGAAGUUCAUCUUCAAGUUGUUCCUUGGGGCAUUGGGACCGCACUUGGAGAGCUUCCUCCAUAUUUUACUUCUAGAGCAGGUUAUGUUUAUAAUGCUUUGCUCUUGCCAACUCGAACAUAAUGUACCUUUGUAACCAUCUCAUGCUAUACCUCAUUAUUCUUUAAGUUUUUAUUCCAGGGCUUCGUUGUGAAUCGCUUAAAUUAUGUAUAAAUGCUUCACUGCGCCCAAAUUUACAUGAACACAUCAGAUGUGUAAUUGAGUGUCAGAAAGAAGUGCAUAGUCCUAUUAGCAAGAAGCUUCUUGAUUGAUUACAAAUUAAUAAAACAUCCAUCUAUAGCACACUUUGAUCAGUGAUGACCGUUGGAUUUUUAUUUGAUUGCUUCUUAUUUGUGUGCCAUCUUCCAGUAUAGCCUUCAAUGAGAUAUAUAGUUAUCCUGUGUGCAGGGCAGAGUAUACAUAAAGUUUAGUUUUAUGCUUCUUAUUCGUUUACUCAUCUUUGCAUUGUAACCUGAGCUCAUCUCUUGAUUCGUGGGAGAUCAGGGCAGACAUGUCUUCAUGGUGCUUGCGGAGGGGCAGGGCCCCUGAGGAAAAGUGGUGGUUGGGGAGGAGGACGCCCUUGUCCUUGGUGUCCGGGCCGCCAUGGCUGACGCCGGAGCCGUUGGUUGGCCUUGAGGUCAUCCGUCGUUGGCGUCCUCAUCAUCCAUCCAACCACCAGGUCCUCGAUCCAUCUGCGGCCGCUGCACCUCCACAGGAGGAGAUCCCUGAGGCAUUUGAUUCUUGUGGGAUCCCCACACAUCUUGCAAGAUCAACAAGUGGCUGGGCCUCUACAUUAUUCAGAAAAGCUAUUUUUAUCUUUCAUUUAUUUGUCUAAUUUAUGUGCCCGUGUAUUCGCCUCCGUUCCGCUCUUGUUGAAGUUCCGACGAAUUUCUGUGCUACCUAGGAGGUACUAAUGCUCAUAUAUUACAAUUUGGUAGCCACAACCUUCAGUCACGGGAUCUUGAGAAAAGCAGUUUAGGCAUUUUGUUUGUGUCAACUAUACAGAAUCCCUGCGGUUCGAUUUUUGGUUUGUAGGCAACCAACACAAUAUGCAGGCAAACAGAGAUGAGGUUUUGCUGUAGUAGGCAAAUAUUCAUUGUCCAUUUUAUGUGUUUGUAGGCAACUGAAGUACUCAACCUGUAUAUAUCCGUUAAUUCGUGUAUAAGCCAAUCUUUUUUGGCAUAUCCAUUGCAUGAUCUACCUAUGUAUGUUUGUAAUUUUGCCUUACUAAGCUGCUAUGCAUAUACUCAGUUUGUCUUUACUAAGCUGCUAUACAUACACUCAAUCUUGUGGUGAUUCCAGCUUUGAGCUUGCAACUGAACCUUAAGACUACUAAUUACUUUUGUGGAUGGUUAAACCUGAAAUCUGAAACAAAAUUUGGUAGCAGUCUUGCCCCCCUCAACAAAAAAAUAUGCAUUGAGGUCAGCUAUCUUCAACGUCCCUUUUUUCGUUUCAGUGAUGCAUGACCAUAGCGUGACAUGAAGUUCUAUCUUUGAUCCUUGCCAUUCUACUGCUUUGUUGAACCAUCUCAAGGCAUAUGGACCUGGUUCUUUUUAAGCACAAUUUUCUUUUAUUGUCUUUACAUGCUCAUUUAAUUCGUUUAUGUUUCCUUUUCCGUUGCAGUGGUGGAUGAUAUAUUCUCUGCCAUGAAUGGAUGUUUUUGGCGUUGUGAGAUGGCGUAGGUCACUGAUGAGGCAAGUGACCGAGGUGAGCUCAUGAAGACAAAGCGGCACAAAUAAACUUCUGACAAACUCAUUGGAAUGGGCGCCUCCCCCCAAAACUUCGCCGUGAUCCGCCACAACCGGCAACGGCGAGGCCAGAGGUGACCGUAUCCGGCACAGGUUGCCAUGGCACGGACGGCGAUGACGACAGGAGGGGCACGCACAUCCAUGGGACGGGACGCCGCCAUAGAGAUGGAGCUCCUUCACAUCACGCAGAGGCCCCAUGGAGCCCCCCUCCUUCUCCGGUGACUCUUCUCAGGCCCGACCCCCUACCUCUCCCCCUCCCUCUCCUGUACUUUGAGCUAUACCAGCUCUGUUUCAGAUUCUGAAGGCCUCUGUACCAUACUUUUAGUUUCAUUUGCAAUCACAUACAAUUUUCUUGUUUUGUCUUCUGAUUCACUUCUCUCGACAUUUGUUUGUGUGCCACUUAUUAUGGCCAGCUUGGCCAUUUUCUCUGGAAGGAGUCACUCAACUCACAAAGAACAAAGAACAAAUAAUAAAGACUAUUUUAUCUUUCUUGCAAUAAUUCAGGUUGAUUGUUCCGACCAUUCAGGUUGCAGGAUUUGAGGUGUGGUCGUUGAGGUGGGGCAGCAAAGAUAAUUAGCGGUCUGUAUGCUAAUGAGGAGAACGUCCCUCUAUUAAUUUUGGGUGUUGGGUUCUGUUUAGUGAAUUUUUGAAAAUAGUUGGCCUGGUAAAACACCAUUGUUUGCCCUGUGGGUCAAUAGGGACUUGACAAACAAAAAAAUGCAUCACUCUCCAUUUAAUGGCCUAAAAACACUGGCAUGUUUGGAUGAAAUUUUCAUCUAUAUGUAUAAGCCGUGGGCUAUUCCAAGAAGAGGGUGACUAUGCAUCAGUUGUACAAUCAUGUGUCCAUCUGCUGCUUUUUUGAAUCGUAUAAAAUCUAGAGCUACCUUACAAAACUGUUCUGUUUACUAUGGAGUAAAAUCUAGAGCUAGCUUAUAAUACUGCUUGAAAAUAGCUUUGGCUCUUCACACCUGGGAGUAAUAUGACAGUUUGCAUUCCUAUUUUUGUUUUCUUUGUAUAUAUAUACAGUUUUCAUAUUCUAUUUGUUUGCUCCUGAAGCUUAUGUUUUCCUUUUUCAGAAUUGAGUGUGUAUGAACAAAGCAAUAGAGGUUGUGUUAAUUCCUAGAGCCUAAUAUGUUCUUUUGUCUCCCGGUGAUUAGUUCGAAUGGCCGUGUGAGUUUCGCCGGCCUGUCUCGGCUCAUGUUAGGCACCAUGUCACGGUGUCUAACUAUUUAUGCACAACAUGGUGACAUGGUGUCUAUAGCCUGUUGGGGCGCCUGCGGGUAUUCUCACUGACCACCUCUGCUUGUUUUGGCUCCUUCUAAUUGAUGUGUUACUUUGUCUAUUUUCAUGUACCCAGAUCCCUGACAAAAUCCAUGUAUUUAACCGUGGCAUGUUUGGCAGCUGCAGCCGCGUGGCAAUUAAUUAAUUCUCAUUCAACGUAAUUUACUUCUCCCCCUUUAUGUAUCAUGGAUGGAUAUACAUGGUGGUUGGCUGUUAUUAUCGAAGCAAGAGUUACUGAUGAUGACUACAUUUGAGCUGGUUUGCCGCUUACAAAUCGGUAGAGUGAUUUAUCUUGCUAAUGUAUAUAUAGUUAUGAAUGCAACUCUUUCGCAUCUAGAGAUCGUAUGGCAGCUGCCUCAUAUUUGUACAGUAGACCUGAUCUCCUAAUAGUAUUUUGUGAUGCACAUAUUUUUAUUUCUUUUGAUUUUGCCUUGGUUGUUAUUUAUGCUUAUAGCUUCAUGUCUGGGAUUCUAUUUCAGGGCACUGUUUUAGUUGUUAGUUCAGGUGCUUUUGAUUUUCUGAAUGUAUCUAGGUAAUGUCGAAGAUGCUCUGCUCUUAUUUUUUAGACAUUUACUUUGCUUAUUUUGCUUCUCCUUAGCCUCUUAUUAGUGCCAAUCUUCUUUUAAAUAGCAGGGACAUUCUUUUACUUUUAGGAGGGCAUAUUUUUCCUGGGCCCUGAUGGGUCUUUUCAUAUAUUUCAGAUAUCAGUGGUCCAUGUCACAAUAAACAAGUGAUUUGUACUUAAACAUGACAUGGGGAACCUUGGAUACACCAUUCAGGACAGGGAUAUACUCGAUCUGAGAGAACAUGGGCUUCUUACCUCCAUCUUUUGUACCCAGUUUACUAGAUAUUAGAAAACAAUGGGUAUUUAAAAAAAAUUGUUACAGAAGUGCCUUGAAUACAUUCAGCAUAAAUGGGAUGACCAGGACAUAUAUGAAUCGGAUUUGUUAUUAACUAUACUUGGAAAACGAUGAUGUGAUGAAGAUAUGUCUGCACAUGAAUAUGACGGUUAUAGAUUUCAGUUGUGCUCUUAAGCAUAAUUCUGCAUCUACAACUAUCGUCCCUCUUGGCAGUGUUCAGAGGUCCUUGGCAAUAGAAGAGAAAUCUUUAGAUUGGAUGAUGUAUUUGAGUUGUUAAAUAAUGCUCAUGCCAAUUAGGUAAGUUUAGAAUAUAUUUUUGUUUAUCUAUAAUUUGAGCUUCAUUCAAUGAGCAAAGUUUGAUAAUUUUUAUCUGUCAUCAUAUCCGCACUAGCUUACUCGCUCUUUUGAACAUUGUAUUUUUUUCAAUUGAAAACCGAUCUAAGUUUGUCUA